rnacentral:lncRNA from 10 species
CAAAAAACAAAGAAAAACAAAAAAGCGAAAAGGAGGCAAAACAAAACAAAAAUCCAUACAAAUAAAGUAUCUCCUCCAUCCAUGUUUGCACUAUUCCUUCUCAUUCCCCCGUCCAAUGCCACAAUUUGGUAAGUUUGCCUCAACACGUUUUCAGUUCUUAACACUGUGAUAAGAAUAAACAAUAGAUCCCGUAGUAAGAUGACCUGUUAAAAGGAAUGGGGCAUGGCAGAGAUGAGUUUGGAUGAGGAAAGGUGUCAGUCCGUUUGGGCUGCUCUAACUAAGUUCUGAGAUGUGUGUUAGGUAAUUUUGACUUUGGUUGAACAUCAUAGAGUGCACUCACACAGACAUAGAUGACAUAGCUUACUACACACCUAGGCUUAUGGUAUAGCCUGUUGCUUCUAGGUGAUUGUAACACAAUGCUUAGUAUUUGUGUAUCCAAACAUAUCUAAACAUAGCAAGGGUAUGGUAAAAAUAUGGUAAAGAAGAUAAAAAAUGGUACACCUGUAUAGGGCACUGAUGUGGGUUGGCUGUGUCCCCACCCAAAUCUCAUCUUGAAUUCCCACGUGUUGUGGGAGGGACCCAGUGGGAGGUGAUUGCAUCAUGGGGGCGGGUCUUUUCCUGUGCUGUUCUCCUGUUAGCGAAUGGGUCUCAUGAAAUCUGAUGGUUCUUUAAGGGGGAGUUUCCCUGCACAAGUUCUCUCUCUUCCCUGCUGACAUGUAAGAUGUGACUUGCUCCUCCUUGCCUUCUGCCAUGAUUGUGAGGCUUCCCCAGCUCUGUGGAACUGUAGGUCCAAUAAACCUCUUUCUUUUGUGAAUUGCACAGUCUCAGAUACGUCUUUAUCAGCAGCAUGAAAAUGAACGAAUACAGGCACUUACCAUAAAUGGAGCUUGCAGGAUUGGAAGUUGCUCUGGGUGAGUCAGUGAGUGAGUGAGGGGUGAGUGAAUGUGAAGGCCUAGGACAUUACCAUAUCCUACUGUGGACUUUACCAUGUCCCACUGUGGACUUUAUAAGUCCCAUUGUACAUAUAGGCCACACAAAAAUUAUUAAAUUUGUUUUCUUUCUUUAGUAAGAAAAAUUAUUAAAAUUGUUUUCUUUCUUUAGUAAGAAGUCAACCUUAGCUUAUUGUAAUGUUUUUACUUUAUCAACUUUUUGCCUUAAAUUUUUUUUUGGCUCUUUAGCAAUAACACUUAGCUUAAAACACACAUUCUACAGCUAUAUAAAAAUAUUUUCCUUCUUUACAUCUUUAUUUUGUUUUUUCUAUUUUUAAAAUAUUUUAUUUUUAUUUUUCACUUUUUAAACUUUUCUGUUAAAAACUGAGACACACACACAGACACACACACACUAGCCUAGGCCUACUCAUAGGGUCAUUAUCAAUAUCACUGUCUUCUACUUCUACCUCUUGUUCCAUUGGAAGGUCUUUAGGGGCAAUAACAUGCAUGAAGCCAUCAUCUCCUGUAACAACAAUGCCUUCUUCUGGAAAACCUCCUGAAGGACCUGCUUGAGGAUUUUUAUAGUUAGCUUUUAAAAAAAUAAGUAGGAGCACACUCUAAAAUAAUGAUUAAAAUUAUAGUCUACUAGAUACAGAAACCGGUAACAUAGUUGCUUAUUAUCAUUAUCAAGUAUUAUGAACUGUACAUAAUUGUAUGUGCUGUGCUUUUAUAUGACUGUCAGUGUCGUAUGUUUGUUUACAGCAGCAUCACCACAAACAUGUGAGUAAUACAUUGCACUGCAAUGUUACUAGGCCAUAGGAAUUUUUCAUCUCCAUUAUUAUCUUAUAGGGCCAUGACUGUUGAGUGAAAUAUUGUUAUGCACUGCAUGACUGUACCACAAAUUGAGUAGCUUAUAAACAAUGGAAAUUUAUGGCUUAUAGUUCUGGAGGCUGUAAUGUCCAGGGUCAGGCUGCUGACAGAUUUGGUGCCUGGCGAGGGCCCACUUUCUGGUUCAUAGAUGGCUUGUCUUUUCACUGUAUCCUCACCUGGGGGAGGGCACUAAUGCCAUUCAUGAAGGCUCCACAUUCAUGACCUAAUUGUCUCCCAACAUCUCCAACUCUUAAUACAGCUCUUUCUCCGUAUCCACAGGGGAUUGGUUCCAGGAGCCCUGUAGAUUCCAAAGUCUGUGAAUGCUCAAGUCCCUUAUGUAAAAUGGCAUACUUCCAACCUGAGCAUCAUAGUGAGACCCCACCUCCUCAAAAAAAAUACAUGCCUGGCGGCACAUGCCUGUAGUCCCAACUACUCAGGAGGCUGAGGUGGGAGGAUUGUUUGAGCCCAGGAAUUCCAGGCUGCAGUGAGCUAUGAUCAUGCCGUUGCACUAUAGCCUGGGCAACAGAGCAAGACACUGACUCUGAAAAAAAAAGUGUACUAUUUACAUAUAACCUAUGUACAUCCUCUCAUAUACUUAAAUCAUCUCUAGAUUUCUUACAAUACCUAAUACAAUGUAAAUGUUAUGUAAAUGUUAUGUAGUUGUUAAACUGUAUGGUCUUUUAUUUUUAUUAUUUUGUAUUAUUAUAUUGUUAUUAUUUAUUUAUUCAUUUAUUGAAUAUUUUCAAUCCAUGGUUGUUUGAAUCUAUGGAUGUGGAACCCAUGGAUAUGAAGGGCUGAUUGUAUUAUCCCCUUGGGGGUUAGGAUUUCACCAUAGGAAUUUUGAGGGGCACACAAACAUCCAGACCAUAGCAAAAGAGAUAAGAAACCUAGGUUAGUGACCAGGGAGGGCUGCUAGGAUGAGCCUUGAUGAAAGAUCUUUCAUCAGGAGGAUCCUGGGCAUGUGGCUGGGAAGGGUCCUGGGCAUGUGGCUGGGAAGACCCUUCAAAGGGGAGGGCACAGUGGGUGCAAAGUUGGAAGUGAAAGAAUACCAUGAGCGAAGAAAGCAUCAAAUUGGCAGUGUUGCUGGAUGUGUUAGUUUCCUGUGGCUACCAAAACAAAUUACCACAAACUGGGUGGCUUAAAACAACAGAAAUAUAUUUCUCCCAGUUCAGGAAGGCAGAAGUCAGAAAUCAAGGUUGGCAGGGUUGUUCCUUCCAGAGGCUGUCAGGGAGAAAUCAUCCCUUUCCUCUCUCCUAGCUUCUGGUAGUUGCUGGCAAACCUUGGCGUCCCUUGGUUUGCAGAUGCAUCAGCUGCUUCUUAGAAUGCCCUGGAGGACAUGCCCCAGUAGUUAGCAGCUUUCUAUAGAAUGUGGUACAUAAUACUUCUUUGUCUUUAGUUUUGGACCCAAGUCAUAAGAAAAGUUCCAGUCAACACCCUAUUACGUAAUCAGUAGAACCAACAGAUGAGAAGAGAAACCAAAAUUAUUGGUAGGCUAUUGACAUACAUGGCAGAUGCGCAAUCUAAAAAAAUGUAUCCCAAAUUUGGGUUAAAUAAUCAAUAAUCUGUGCCUGUGUCUUCACAUGGUGUUCUCCUCCAAGUCUCUGUCUUUUUUUUCCUGUCUCUUACAAGGACACUCUAGUUGGAUUUAGGAGCCUCCUUAAUCUGAUGCCAUCACAUCUUGGUCCUUAACUUAAUUAGAUCUACAAAGACUCUUUUUUCAAUGAGGUCACAUUCUGAGAUUUCAGAAUAAAUCUGAAAUAAAUGGACAUAAAUGUUUGGAGGUUGGGUGGAGGACACUAUUCAACCCAGUCCUCUGGAGUUGGCAUGACCAGCUCUGAUGCCCUGGAGACUCAGUUGAGUGUGGCAGCAGAAAAGAAAUGUUAUCCUGGAAAGAGUGAAGACUCUAAAAGAAGCUGCUUGGAAAGUCAGAGGUACAAAGAAAGGAGUAAUAGGCAAAGAGAAUAGAGUGGAUGGGUGUAAGAGCACAGGAAAGAGACAGUGGAUGGAGACCCGGGAUAUAAACGGUGAGAGUGUGGGAGUUUUAAAGAGAAUGAGACCACAAAUAUGGGGAAAGGAGGAGGUAUUUCUGUCUAGGUUUCUGGGGACUGGUUUGAUUAGAAAGGAAUGAGACUAAACUACAGGGAGUAAAAGACCUGAGGGGAUUUCUAAAACCACAGGGACUUUCUGAGAGUUUCAAUUACGGUUAGUUUAUGAGGAAUCUCAACAUCAUCUAGUCCAAAUGUGAAGUAGUGUUUAUUUUUCUCAGUCAUUCCAUCAACUGGAUUCUGAAAUUCCCCUCUUGUCACUCCUUAGUGAUAUCUUGAGCAGAUUUAAUACUUCUGCAGUCCUUUUGAGAUACUGAUACUCCAAUCUAGUUUAAAAUUCUAAAUCUCCAUCUUCAUCUAAAACUCAUCUUCUUUCUGCAUGUCACAGGCUAGGUCUGUAGCUCAACCUUGGCAUAUAUUUUGGAGGUAGGCAUGGUUUAUCUGAGAUACACUCUUCUUGCCCCUCCCUC